UGGGGAAUUUUGGACAAUGGGGGAAACCCUGAUCCAGCCAUCCCGCGUGUGCGAUGAAGGCCUUCGGGUUGUAAAGCACUUUUGGCAGGAAAGAAACGUCGCGGGUUAAUACCCCGCGAAACUGACGGUACCUGCAGAAUAAGCACCGGCUAACUACGUGCCAGCAGCCGCGGUAAUACGUAGGGUGCAAGCGUUAAUCGGAAUUACUGGGCGUAAAGCGUGCGCAGGCGGUUCGGAAAGAAAGAUGUGAAAUCCCAGAGCUUAACUUUGGAACUGCAUUUUUAACUACCGGGCUAGAGUGUGUCAGGGGGAGGUGGAAUUCCGCGUGUAGCAGUGAAAUGCGUAGAUAUGCGGAGGAACACCGAUGGCGAAGGCAGCCUCCUGGGAUAACACUGACGCUCAUGCACGAAAGCGUGGGGAGCAAACAGGAUUAGAUACCCUGGUAGUCCACGCCCUAAACGAUGUCAACUAGCUGUUGGGGCCUUCGGGCCUUGGUAGCGCAGCUAACGCGUGAAGUUGACCGCCUGGGGAGUACGGUCGCAAGAUUAAAACUUAAAGGAAUUG
rnacentral:rRNA from 1 species